AUACACCAACCCUCAUGGGCUGUGUCUCAAUCCACCACGCCCACGCUGACAUCUAAUUAGCAUAAUACACCAACCCUCAUGGGCUGUGUCUCAAUCCACCACGCCCGCCUGUCAGCCUGGAAUAGACCUUCCUCAUCUGAGGUGGAAGGUGACCUUCCUCAUCUGAGGUGGAAUCGACCUUCCUCAUCUGAGGUGGAAGGUGACAGAGCUACAGCGGUGUUUGUCAAGAGAUCGUGGUGAAACAUCCCUGAAAAAUUGGUCUUCUCACAAAUACUUCUGUAGCGUCCUAACGAGUCAGAUUGGACCAUCUUCAAACAAUUCCACAUGUACCCAGAUUAUUUAGUUAGUUUAGUUGGAACUCAGUGCCCUGGGGCCCCUAGACCCCUUCUUUUAACAGCUUUGUGAUGAGGAAUAUAAUUCUAUUGAAACUAACCUGCCAACUGGAACUAAGCCUUAGAGACACACACAGGUUCUCUCUUCCUCCUCACAGCUCCCCUGUAGCUAUAACUCAGGCUGACUUGACCUGCUAGUAACUAACACACAUCAGCCUCCAACGUGGAAACAACUGGAACUAAGCCUUAGAGACACACACAGGUUCUCUCUUCCUCCUCACAGUGUUCCUCUGUAACUCCUGUCAGGCUGACCUGACCUGCUAGUAACUAACACACAUCAGCCUCCAACGUGGAAACAUCUGGAACUAAGCCUUAGAGACACACACACAGGUUCUCUCUUCCUCCUCACAGUUCCCCUGUGACUCAGGCUGACCUGACCUGCUAGUAACUAACACACAUCAGCCUCCACAUCCAACGUGAAAACAACAUAAAAAAAGCUGCUACACGAGGCUGACAAAUGUUUGUUUGUUGUGAGAGAAGAAGAAGAGAGAGAGAGAGAACCUCAAACUACAUGUUGCCGUCCUAGUAUCACUCUCUAUUCACACCCAGCUGUAUGACAGGCAGUUUGCCCGUCCAUGUCUCUAUUGAAGUCUUUUGGGUUCAUGUAGUAUUUGUCUUUAUUUGUAGUGGGGGUGUUAGUUGUGUUGAUGCUGGUGAACUUGAAGGAGAUAAGCAGUUGGGAUGUAAAUGGAUUCAACAGUAUUUUUGGGAAUAUCAGGCCCAACUGUCUCUAUGUCUGGCCUGUAAAGAGCCUCUCUCUCUCUCUCUCUGUCUGGCCUGUAAAGAGCCUCUCUCUCUC